rfam:Marine metagenome 1093015311365, whole genome shotgun sequence.
ACUCAACGCGAAUUUUUUUAUAAAGGGUGAGUCAUUUCUGCUAAAGCACGCCUAAUUGGAUCCUUGAUCAGUAUGUUAGCUCUAAUCUUGUUUUAAUGAGAGUUU